rnacentral:rRNA from 1 species
CAAUAGCGUAUAUUAAAGUUGUUGCAGUUAAAAAGCUCGUAGUUGAAUUUUUGCUUGCCGCCGAUGUCGGAACUUCCGUACGUUCGGCGGCGUGCAUCCUUGGGUGGAACCUGUGUGGCAUUAGGUUGUCGUGCAGGGGAUGCUCAUCGUUUACUGUGAAAAAAUUAGAGUGUUCAAAGCAGGCUUAUGCCGUUGAAUAUAUUAGCAUGGAAUAAUAAGAUAGGACCUUGGUACUAUUUUGUUGGUUUGCGCACCGGGGUAAUGAUUAACAGGGACAGUUGGGGGUAUUCGUAUUCCAUUGUCAGAGGCGAAAUUCUUGGAUUUCUGGAAGACGAACUACUGCGAAAGCAUUUACCAAGGAUGUUUUCAUUA